GCCUGGCAUGGUGGCUCAGGCCUGUAAUCCCAGCAUUUUGGGAGGCUGAGGCUGUAGUGCACUAUGCCAACUGGGUAUCUGCAUCAAGUUCAGCCUCAACAUGACCUCCCAGGAGUGGAGGACCACCAGGUUGCCUAAGGAGGAGUGAACUGGCCCAGGUUGGAAACAGAGGUCAAAACUCCUGUGCUGAGGCUGGGUGCUUCGGCUCAUGCUUGUAAUCCCAGCACUUUGAGACUGUCUUA
rnacentral:SRP_RNA from 1 species